rnacentral:lncRNA from 1 species
GAGCAACGCGCACCGGAUUGGAUCGAUCUGGGCUUGUGAUCUAAUAUCUAAUUUCUUUGAGACAAUUCACCAAACACAUUGCAGGCAUAAAUAAACAAAGACAAAGAAUCAAGAUUUACGUGGUUCGGCACAAAAGGCCUACAUCCACGGGGAGGAGGAGCAAUUCCACUAUAAAUCCAUCCCGAAAAAUAGGUACAAUAUAAGGUAUAAAAUACCUUUUUCCAAAUCCCACAAGAAGGCAACAAUAUAUCGAAUAGAAGGCAACCAAGAUCCAAAAGGAUCAACCAAUCUCAGCCUCAGCAAUAGAUCAAGAUAAAAAUAAUACCUGAUGAAGAUACCUUCCUCAACCCUCGGCAAAAAAUCAAGAUGAUACCUCCUUACCAGCCGUAGCAGCACAAAGUAUUUGUGAAACCAAGAAGAAGAAGACAGGUAGAUCACCACCCGAAGGCCAACAGAAAGAAGCCAGAAAACACCUGCACACGAGGCACAGCCGAGAGAUCGGCCAGAGAACAGAACCCGNGCACAAGGCACAGCCGAGAGAUCGGCCAGAGAACAGGCCAGC